UAUAUGUAUUUAAUUAUAACAGUGAAAUAUUUUCUAUAGGAAGAAACAAACAGUUGCUACCCAUGUAUGUGUCAGCUGAUAUUUAUAUGAGUGCUACGAAAUGUUUUGGUAUAAAUUAAUUCACCAUCCAUUAUCUCAAGGCACUCGAUGGAAGAUGUUUCACUAUGACAAAGCUCCGUCUAGUAGGGAUCCCUUUUGUGAAUCUCUCCGGCAUGGAUUACCUCUCUUCGAUCUCUUUAAAGAUAACAUAUCUUAGUAUGGAUAGGAAAAUGUAGAAUCUUCUUGGAUUGUGUUGAUAUGUACGGAUUUGCAUUUUGAGGUGAGUGAAGACAAUAACGUUGAGUAUGAAGUUCAUUAAUGAAAAUUUUAUAUUUAAAAUUUAAUAUCCAAUGGCUAUUAUGUAUUAUUGGUAAUUAAUCGCUUUCUUAUUAUUAUACCAGCAGGUAGUUCUUCGAGAUGGACGUGAAGUCUUUCAAAAUCGUGAGGAUGUAUGGCGUAUUUUUGAAGGAAGUGGAAUAUGCACGGGUUCGGUGAAUACGUUUUAUAGCAAAAUGAACAGCAUUAACAUCUAAUGGACUCUGAUGAAUAAUUAUAUUUAUGUUUGAUUAAUCAUAAAUAUUUACUAAUUUGAAGUCAUUCGUAUUUCGGAGAGGAUUUGAAAUAAUAAAUUAUGUUUUUAUUAACAUUAAAUACUAUAAAUAAAA
rnacentral:lncRNA from 1 species